GGCUUGUUAGCUCAGUUGGUAGAGCACUGCACCACUAUCGCAGAGGUCAUGGGUUCAAAUUCCACACAGGCCU